rnacentral:rRNA from 1 species
CCUACGGGAGGCUGCAGUGAGGAAUAUUGGUCAAUGGACGAGAGUCUGAACCAGCCAAGUAGCGUGAAGGAGGACUGCCCUAUGGGUUGUAAACUUCUUUUAUAAAAGAAUAAAACGAGGCACGUGUGCCUUUUUGCAUGUACUUUAUGAAUAAGGAUCGGCUAACUCCGGGCCAGCAGCCCCGGUAAGACGGAGGAUCCGAGCGUUAUCCGGAUAUGUUGGGUUUAAAGGGAGCGUAGAGGGGUUGUUAAGUCAGUUGUGAAAGUUUGCGGCUCAACCGUAAAAUUGCAAUUGAUACUGGCAGUCGUGAGUACAGUUGAGGGAGGCGGAAUUCGUGGUGUAGCGGUGAAAUGCUUAGAUAUCACGAAGAACCCCGAUUGCGAAGGCAGCUUACUAAACUGUGACUGACAUUGAUGCUCGAAAGUGUGGGUAUCAAACAGGAUUAGAUACCCCUGUAGUC